AUUGAACGCUGGCGGCAUGCUUUACACAUGCAAGUCGAACGGUAACAGGCCGCAAGGUGCUGACGAGUGGCGAACGGGUGAGUAAUGCAUCGGAACGUGCCCAGUCGUGGGGGAUAACGCAGUGAAAGCUGUGCUAAUACCGCAUACGGUCUAUGGAUGAAAGCGGGGGACCGUAAGGCCUCGCGCGAUUGGAGCGGCCGAUGUCAGAUUAGGUAGUUGGUGGGGUAAAGGCUCACCAAGCCAACGAUCUGUAGCUGGUCUGAGAGGACGACCAGCCACAGUGGGACAGAGACGAGGCCCAGAGUCCUGCGGGAGGAGGCAGUGGGGAAUUUUGGACAAUGGGCGCAAGACUGAUCCAGCAAUGCCGCGUGCAGGAAGAAGGCCUUCGGGUUGUAAACUGCUUUUGUACGGAACGAAACGGCGAGCUCUAAUACAGUUUGCUAAUGACGGUACCGUAAGAAUAAGCACCGGCUAACUACGUGCCAGCCGCCGCAGUAA
rnacentral:rRNA from 1 species